UCUCUCCUCUCCCCUCUCUCUCUUGGCGGGGAUCCGGCAGCGGCACGGCCGAGGCGGAGCUCGGGUGGCGGCGUACCUCGCCGGGAGGAGCGGCGGCGCGGCCAGAGCACGGAUCUGCGGCGGCUGGGGACGGAGAUGGAUAAAGAAGCCAAGGCGUGCAAGCAACCCUAUCCCCUCGUGGCUCUCCUCCUCUCCGGUCCUCUCGACUUCCUCAUCGUGCAUAUGCCAUGGAGGAGGUGCGGAGAAUACUGGCACAUCUGUGGUUGCAGCGACAAUGGCGCGUGGAGGUCACGUCAAUGUCAUCUUUUCCUUCUCGGCUGCUCCUGCUCCUGCUCCGCCGCCGCGGCGGGGGAGGGGGUGCAGGCAGGUGGUCGUGGGGAGGAGUGACGGCGGCGGGAACUUCUUCAAGCCGUUCAACGUGACGUACGAUCACCACGCGGUGCUCAUCGGGGGCAAGCGCAGGAUGCUCGUCUCCGCUGGGCUGCACUACCCCGUGCCACACCCGAGAUGUGGCCUAGUGUAAUUGCAAAGUGCAAGGAGGGUGGCGCAGAUGUAAUUGAGACCUAUGUCUUUUGGAAUAGGCAUGAGCCAGCUAAAGUAUUACAUUGAAGAAAGAUUUGAUCUGGUGAAAUUUGCGAAGCUGGUUGCUGCCGAAGUGGUUUCCCUGUUUGGUUACAUGACAUCCCUGGCAUAGAGUUCUGAACUGACAAUGAGCCAUUCAAGGCUGAAAUGCAGACUUUUGUGACAAAAGUUGUCACUUUGAUGAAAGAGGAGAAACUUUGUUCUUGGCAAGGUGGUCCCAUUAUAUUACAGCAGAUGGAAAACGUAUGGGAAUAUUCUAGGAAAUUUUGGGCAAGCAGGGAAGAGAUAUAUGCUAUGGGCUACUCAGAUGGCAAUUGGGCUUGACACUGGCAUUCCUUGGGUAAUGUGGAUGCUCCAGAAAAAAUUAUCGAUACAUGCAAUGCAUUUUAUUGUGAUGGUUUCAAGCCAAAUUCUUACAAUAGUCCAACAAUAUGGACUGAAGAUUGGGAUGGAUGGUAUGCUGACUGGGGAGGAGCAUUACCUCACAGGCCAGCCAAAGAUAGUGCUUUUGUUGUCGCUCGUUUCUACCGGAGAAGUGGAAGCUUACAGAAUUAUUAUAUGAGUAUGGCAUUGUAAUGGAGAAGUAUGGGCACUUUUAUAACCCACAAUGGACAGAGGAUGACAUUCUAUUUAAAGGUAUAUUAAGGCAGCCAAAGUGGGGGCAUCUGAAUGUUCUACAUGCUGCUAUCAAACUUUGAGAGCCAGCUCUUAUUGCAGUUGAUUUCUCACCUCAAUAUAUAAAGUUAGGAUCCAUGCAAGAGCCAAAAGACUAGGAUGUGGAAUAUAUUGAAGAUCCUGAUGAAGUUAAACUAGAGGGCCAUGACUCUAUUCCAAAACACAUUCCUGAUCCAAAGGACAAUAAGUGUUGUACUUAGAACUGUCCUACAAAUCCAACUUCUAAUAUUCAAGAAUUUCACUGGCAUAUUAAUUUAUUGAAAUGCAUUAAUUAACAUUAUUUCGAUGGAAUCAUAUGUUCUUUAUAUUAUGAGAACAACCGAGUGCAGACAAAUGUUCCAUCUUACCUAUUAAAGCUUUUUUCAUUAGAAACAUUUCCUAUCUUCUAUUAGCAACAUUGAAUCCACUAUGACUUUAAUGGCUCUAUGAUGUGUAAUAAAAAUAACACAGGAUGGCAUGUAUUUUCUUUUUCUAUAUAUUAAAUCAGCCUGAGUCAUGGAAUGAUGACGACGACGGUGUAUGGAAAACCUAGAUGAUACCGAACCCAGAUUACAGGGGUCGAUGGAAACACAAGGUCUAGUUGGUUGUGGGCUUGCUAAUAUUUCAAAUAUAGAGACCAAUACUAGGAUGUGGUUCAACUUCCAUGACAAAUUUUUCUUCUUGUUUUUAUUGCCUCCUAUAAUAUUAUAUCCUUUUACUUUUCUAAUUCACAACUCAUAAUUCCUCAUGUUGUUAUGUACUUUGAUUGUUUACUACCUCUCUUAAAUGCUGCUUCAUAAUAUCUGAGUAUGGAUUCCUUGACUUCAAUGUACCCAAUCAGGAUUCAGCUUAUCCCCGAAACCAUUCUUUGCAAAUUUUGGGGCCAUUGUAACUUUUGCCAUCCUUGGGACCUUUAUUGCUUCUGUUGUAAUAGGAGUUCUUGUAUGGCGAUUUCUCUUUAUAGGACAAUGUCAUCAGUCAGUAGUGAAGCAACAUCUGGGGAGAAUUUCUUUAUGAUGGUUUCCUAGUUCCUUGAGACCUUUGUUGGCUCAAUGCCAUCAGGUGUUGGAGUUGGAUUUAUCUCUGCUCUUAUAUCCUUAUCCUAGGUUCUAUGUUGAAAACUCUGUUUGCAAAACAUGAAAGACUUAGUACUUAGUAGUGAUCUGUGUGCAUUGAAUCAUAUCUUCAUAAAAUGAUUCAUAAUCUUUCUCCUUUUAAAUAAUUUCACAAGAAAAGUUCUCUUAGAU